UUCGAUUGAUUCGGAGAACGAUGCCUCUUCGAUUUUUGAGAAAGCAAUCAUGCUGGGGGUCUGGCUCUCGAGAUUCGGGAAGCAGUGUCUCUUCGAUUUUUGAGAAAGUAAUCAUGUUGGGAGUCUGGCUCUCGAGAUUCGGAGGGCGGUGCCUCUUCGAUUUUGGAGCAAGCAAUCUUGUUGGGAGUGUUUUCUCGAAUGUGAGUAAAGGUUGGGCAUGUUUGCUAGUCUACCUUGCCACGAAGCACGGAGGUUGACACACAGGGACUUUCCAAUUAUCCAGCAAUGGUACUGUUCCUUUACCCUCUCUUCGAUUUUUGAGAAAGUAGUCAUGUUGGGAGUCUGGCUCUCGAGAUUCGGAGGACGGUGCCUCUUCGAUUUUGGAGCAAGCAAUCUUAUUGGGAGUGUUUUCUCGAAUGUGAGUAAAGGUUGGGCAUGUU
rnacentral:lncRNA from 1 species